rfam:Nematostella vectensis strain CH2 x CH6 NEMVEscaffold_3783_Cont46199, whole genome shotgun sequence.
GCCUCUGUAGCUCAGUGGUUAGAGCACUGGUCUAGUAAACCAGGGGUCGAAAGUUCUAGUCUCUCCAGAGGCU